rnacentral:other from 2 species
UAAUUCCUGGGAAUGCUCGACAACCUUACCAAUUUUGAACCUACAUCUGUGACACAGGGAUUCCAAUAUUUGUAAGUGGAUGUCAGGCCUCCAUAGAGUGGAAGGCAGAAACUUACGUGAGGUUGCCCACCUAGCAACGGCUAGGCGUCAAUAAGUAAGAACGGCUUUUCUGGGAUUACU